CCAAAUAAAGGCUAGAGAAUAAGCCAUCACACACACCCUGAAUACAAAUAGAGAGACACUCCUUAUGAGUUAUGAACCUAAUAAACAAGAAUUAUCGCGUAGCCUACUACCAUCAUGAAUUAUCGUUGGCUUAAGAUUGCCUUUCACUUAUAAACCACCUAGAAUUGGACAUCUAAAACAUGACUUAAGUAGUCAAAUAGCGGGUGGAAAAUUGUUCUUUAGACCCCUCUGCAUUGUUCCUAGGCCCC
rnacentral:lncRNA from 1 species